AGAAUGUGUGUGCAUAUUUGUUGAAGUGGUAGACAAAGACGUAAAACAAGUGCAAAAAUAAAUCAUCUUUUGCAACCCAGAACUCAUCUUUUGGUGUGAUUUUUGAUGCAGUUAAGGAGUAUGAAA
ensembl:snoRNA